CUAAAAUUUUCCUAAUCAAGAAAAUAUACUAAUAUUUUUUGAUGAAAUUGUACUAAUACAAUUAUGCAAUCAGAAUUUUUCGAUUGUUAUUUCAGUGUAUUAUACAUUUGUCUACUUUUAGAUUUUUGAUAAAUAUCUUUUGCUACACAAAUUUCGUCCAAAGAUUUGUUAGCGUCAUCCACAUCAGUAUUCAUUAGUUUAAACUUUAACAAAAUUAAAUUUUGAUGAAAAAUUAAAAAUAAGCAAUUAUUUAGUUUUAAAAAACUGAAGUAAAACUUGCUUGACAUUUUUCAGAAAAUAUAUAUUUUAUCAUUUAAUCUAUUUCAUCUUUAAUUCUUUCUGAAAGGUUUAGUGCUUUCACAAGAGAUUCUCAAAAGUACAAAAAAAAAUUAGAGAGAAAACUAAAAUCAAAUAUUUAAGUUAAAAUCUAAUAUAAGAGUAAAGGUCUCAUAAAAGCAUGGUAUAGUAGAACAUUUAUUCAUAAAAGCAAAACUUUAAGUAAAUUAGAUUAAUAAGUUGUUUUUCAAACAGUUUCCAUUCAUUCUAAGACUCGUGUCCUCGACGUUUCAUUUUCCGCUUCUUCCACUAAGUUCUUCAUUUACUUAUUAAGCUACAAAUUAUGACAGUUAAAAUUUAUAAUUCAUCUAAAUAUUCUUGUCCACUGUCUAAGGUUUUAUCAUGUUAGUAAUGUUUAAUAUUUUUCUCUUUUAGCUUUAUCCUUAUCAUUUAUUAGUUACUGGUAAUUAUCGAUUACCUCCAGAUGUAGAUCGAUGCCAUUUAGAACGUCAUCUUUCAAAUGAAGAAUUUCACGCUAUAUUUCACAUGACCCGCUUAGAGUUCUAUCGCCUGCCAGAGU